GAAGUCCGCUACGAUGAAGCAGUAGCGAACCCCAUCGGCCUCCGAGCCAUGCACAUAUGCCCGCGUGGGCGUCGUCGAAGCGUCGGCUGAGGCACAAAUAGGCCAGCCGUCGAGCCUCGAAAGUUUGGGUUGGACCUGGGCGCUGACGUCGUCGUAAAGGCGGAAAGUAACCCAGCCGGCUGCACCAUCCCAAGCGCUCGAACGGCCUGGCGUGGUGUACGACAC
rfam:Burkholderiales bacterium JOSHI_001 chromosome, whole genome shotgun sequence.